UACGUAGGGUGCGAGCGUUGUCCGGAAUUAUUGGGCGUAAAGGGCUCGUAGGCGGUCUGUCACGUCGGGAGUGAAAACACGGGGCUUAACCCCGUGCCUGCUUCCGAUACGGGCAGACUAGAGGUAUGCAGGGGAGAACGGAAUUCCUGGUGUAGCGGUGAAAUGCGCAGAUAUCAGGAGGAACACCGAUGGCGAAGGCAGAUCUCUGGGCCGUAACUGACGCUGAGGAGCGGAAAGCAUGGGGAGCGAACAGGAUUA
rnacentral:rRNA from 1 species